rnacentral:rRNA from 1 species
AUUGAACGCUGGCGGCAGGCCUAACACAUGCAAGUCGAACGGUAACAGGAAGAAGCUUGCUUCUUUGCUGACGAGUGGCGGACGGGUGAGUAAUGUCUGGGAAACUCCCUGAUGGAGGGGGAUAACUACUGGAAACGGUAGCUAAUACCGCAUAACGUCGCAAGCCCAAAGAGGGGGACCUUCGGACCUCUUGCCAUCGGAUGUGCCCAGGUGGGAUUCGCUAGUAGGUGGGGUAACGGUUCACCUAGGCGACGAUCCCUAGCUGGUCUGAGAGGAUGACCAGCCACACUGGAACUGAAACACGGUCCAGACUCCUACGGGAGGCAGCAGUGGGGAAUAUUGGACAAUGGGCGCAAGCCUGAUGCAGCCAUGCCGCGUGUAUGAAGAAGGCCUUCGGGUUGUAAAGUACUUUCAGCGGGGAGGAAGGGAGUAAAGUUAAUACCUUUACUCAUUGACGUUACCCGCAGAAGAAGCACCGGCUAACUCCGUG